rnacentral:rRNA from 1 species
GUUGUUCGGAAUUACUGGGCGUAAAGGGCUCGUAGGCGGCCAACUAAGUCGGACGUGAAAUCCCCAGGCUCAACCUGGGAACUGCGUCCGAUACUGGAUGGCUUGAAUCCGGGAGAGGGAUGCAGAAUUCCAGGUGUAGCGGUGAAAUGCGUAGAUAUCUGGAGGAACACCGGUGGCGAAGGCGACAUCCUGGACCGGCAUUGACGCUGAGGCGCGAAAGCCAGGGGAGCAAACGGG